GUACUCUAGUAGUUUAUGAAAAACA
rnacentral:tRNA from 1 species